rnacentral:rRNA from 1 species
CGAGCGAACAGACGAGGAGCUUGCUCCUCUGACGUUAGCGGCGGACGGGUGAGUAACACGUGGAUAACCUACCUAUAAGACUGGGAUAACUUCGGGAAACCGGAGCUAAUACCGGAUAAUAUAUUGAACCGCAUGGUUCAAUAGUGAAAGACGGUUUUGCUGUCACUUAUAGAUGGAUCCGCGCCGCAUUAGCUAGUUGGUAAGGUAACGGCUUACCAAGGCAACGAUGCGUAGCCGACCUGAGAGGGUGAUCGGCCACACUGGAACUGAGACACGGUCCAGACUCCUACGGGAGGCAGCAGUAGGGAAUCUUCCGCAAUGGGCGAAAGCCUGACGGAGCAACGCCGCGUGAGUGAUGAAGGUCUUCGGAUCGUAAAACUCUGUUAUUAGGGAAGAACAAAUGUGUAAGUAACUAUGCACGUCUUGACGGUACCUAAUCAGAAAGCCACGGCUAACUACGUGCCAGCAGCCGCGGUAAUACGUAGGUGGCAAGCGUUAUCCGGAAUUAUUGGGCGUAAAGCGCGCGUAGGUGGUUUUUUAAGUCUGAUGUGAAAGCCCACGGCUCAACCGUGGAGGGUCAU